GCUAUAUUAGUUUAAUGAGAACAUGAGUUUUGUAAAUUUAGAGUAAAUAAAAAGUUUAUGUAGUU
rnacentral:tRNA from 1 species